rnacentral:rRNA from 1 species
GUCGAGCGAAGCACUUUUUUAGAACUCUUCGGAGGGAAGAGAGGGUGACUUAUUGGCGGACGGGUGAGUAACGCGUGGGCAACCUGCCUUACACAGGGGGAUAACAAUUAGAAAUGAUUGCUAAUACCGCAUAAGACCCCAGUGCCGCAUGGUACAGGGGUAAAAACUGAGGUGGUGUAAGAUGGGCCCGCGUCUGAUUAGGUAGUUGGUGGGGUAGAAGCCUACCAAGCCGACGAUCAGUAGCCGACCUGAGAGGGCGACCGGCCACAUUGGGACUGAGACACGGCCCAAACUCCUACGGGAGGCAGCAGUGGGGAAUAUUGCACAAUGGGGGAAACCCUGAUGCAGCGACGCCGCGUGAGUGAGGAAGUAUUUCGGUAUGUAAAGCUCUAUCAGCAGGGAAGAAAAUGACGGUACCUGACUAAGAAGCCCCGGCUAACUACGUGCCAGCAGCCGCGGUAAUACGUAGGGGGCAAGCGUUAUCCGGAUUUACUGGGUGUAAAGGGAGCGUAGACGGAAUUGCAAGUCUGAUGUGAAAAUCCGGGGCCCAACCCCGGAACUGCAUUGGAAACUGUAUUUCUAGAGUGUCGGAGAGGCAAGUGGAAUUCCUGGUGUAGCGGUGAAAUGCGUAGAUAUCAGGAGGAACACCAGUGGCGAAGGCGGCUUGCUGGACGAUGACUGACGUUGAGGCUCGAAAGCGUGGGGAGCAAACAGGAUUAGAUACCCUGGUAGUCCACGCCGUANACGAUGACUACUAGGUGUCG